GUAGGGUGCUAACGUUGUUCGGAAUCACUGGGCAUAAAGAGCGCGUAGGCGGUCUGAUAAGUCAGGUGUGAAAUCCCCCGGCUCAACCGGGGAACUGCACCUGAUACUGUUGGGCUUGAGUGCAGGAGGGGAGAGCGGAAUUCCUGGUGGAGCGGUGAAAUGCGUAGAUAUCAGGAGGAACGCCGGCGGCGAAAGCGGCUCUCUGGCCUGUUACUGACGCCGAGGCGCGAAAGCUAGGGGAGCAAACGGGAUUAGAUACCCCGGUAGUCCUAGCCCUAAACGAUGGGUACUAAGUAGAGGAAAUUCCGAUAUUUUCUCUGCCGGAGCUAAUGUAUUAAGUACCCCGCCUGGGGAGUAUGGUCGCAAGGCUA
rnacentral:rRNA from 1 species